rnacentral:piRNA from 1 species
UGAGGUCUAGGACUCAAUCCAGCAGAACCUU